rnacentral:rRNA from 1 species
UACGUAGGGUGCGAGCGUUAAUCGGAAUUACUGGGCGUAAAGCGUGCGCAGGCGGUGAUGUAAGACAGGUGUGAAAUCCCCGGGCUUAACCUGGGAACUGCAUUGUGACUGCAUCGCUGGAGUGCGGCAGAGGGGGAUGGAAUUCCGCGUGUAGCAGUGAAAUGCGUAGAUAUGCGGAGGAACACCGAUGGCGAAGGCAAUCCCCUGGGCCUGCACUGACGCUCCAUGCACGAAAGCGUGGGGAGCAAACAGG